rnacentral:rRNA from 1 species
AUGUCUUGGUGCGAAACCAUGCUGCUGUUCCUCCUCUUCGCGCUAUCCAUCCCCCCCUCCUCCCAAGCUUGGUCCGUCGAUUAUCCGAGCCCCAUCUCCAACGUUCCUUCCCACUGGACCAACAACAACGCCACCAUCCCCUACAAUGCCACAUACGCCGACGGCUCGACGAUCAGGGCCAUCCUCGUCAGGCAAAACCCCGCCGGGUAUGCCCCGUCCUUCGCCUGCGGCUUCAUCUGCGCUGCUCCCUGCGACCGCGCUUUCCUCUUCGCGGUCUUCUCCGUGUCCAUUGGCGGUUCCAGCACCAGCGCCCCAGCCAACACCACGGCCACACUGAGGGUCGUGUGGGCGGCCAACAGGCACCAUCCGGUGAAGGAGAAUGCGUCCGUCCAGCUCACCAAGGACGGCAAUCUCAUACUCCGAGACUUUGAUGGCUCGCUGGUCUGGUCCACAAACACAUUGCGUGGCCCCAUCGUCGGCGUGAAUCUUGCUGAUACUGGGAAUCUGAUCCUCUUCGAUGUGAUGGGGAAGACGGUGUGGGAGUCAUUCGAGCACCCUACCGACACGCUCCUUAUUGGGCAGUCGCUGAGGCAAGGGAAGAGGCUUACUUCAGCUUCCUCAAACUUGACUCAAGGUCAGUUCUACCUCACCGUGCUUGACCAUGGCCUCUAUGCUUUCGUCGAUGCAGAUACUCCGCAGUCUUACUAUCAGAAAAGAUUUAAUGUCACCGAUGCAGUUGUUCAAUCAAAGAUGAACAUUUCCUCUGAUGAAGCAAAGAAUGGCACUGCCUACAUUUCCUUGUUACGAGGCAGCCUCUCAGCAUUUGCCAGCUUAAGCAGCACACGCAUCAAGUUAUUCAAUAUAUCACUGCCAUGGCCAUCUUCAGCACAGCUCAUGAGUCUCGAGGAAGACGGGCACCUGCGGCUUUAUGGCUGGAACGGUCUCUCAUGGAAGUAUUUGGCUGAUGUUCUGAAUGUGGAUCCAGAGGAAUGUGCAUAUCCAACAGUGUGUGGAGAGUAUGGGAUUUGUUCAGAGGGACAAUGUAGUUGCCCAACUGGAAAUUCUGGAGACAUACUUUUCCGUCAGCUGGAUAACCGACAACCUAAUCUGGGCUGUUUCCCAGCAACUCCACUGUCUUGUGACUUGAUCCAGCAUCAACGGCUUUUGCCUCUCCCAGAUGUCACAUAUUUCAAUUUUGCACAUGAUUGGACUACUGAUGAAGAGAGCUGCAUGAGCGCAUGCUUGAAGGCCUGUUCAUGCAAAGCUGUCUUCUUCCGACAACAAAAUGACUCCUAUGGUUCUUGUUAUCUGAUGCCAAAGAUUUUUUCACUUAUGCAUUAUGAACCAGGAACCAUUGGAUAUAAUUUAUCUGCAUACAUCAAAGUGCAGAUGUUACCUCCACCACCGUCGAGUAAAGGUUUGAAUGCAACUGCUUACCAUGUUGGUGUUCCUGUUCUAGUAGUGCUCAUCUGUGUGCUCCUUCUCUUCAUCAAAAGAGCAAUGGCAAAGAGGAUGCAAGAGGACGAUCCAUUUAAAGGGAUUCCUGGGAUGCCAACACGGUUCUCCUACAAACAGCUGAAAGAAGCAACAAAUAACUUCAGCAAAAAGCUUGGGCAAGGAGGAUUUGGUCCAGUAUAUGAAGGAAAGCUUGGAAGUGUCAAAAUUGCCGUUAAAUGCUUGCAGGACAUUGGACAUGGGAAGGAAGAAUUCAUGGCCGAAGUCAUGACAAUUGGCAGCAUUCAUCAUAUAAAUCUUGUUAGAUUGAUAGGUUACUGCUCUGACAAAUUGCAUAGGCUCCUCGUUUAUGAGCACAUGAGCAAUGGUUCUCUGGAUAAAUGGAUCUUCAGAAAAAAUCAAAGUGAUUCACUCAGUUGGACAUCUCGAUACAGGAUUAUCCUUGACGUUGCCAAGGGCUUAGCCUAUCUUCAUGAAGAAUGCCGACAGAAGAUUGUUCACCUUGAUAUCAAGCCUGGAAAUAUCCUCCUUGAUGACAAGUUUAAUGCAAAGAUAUCUGAUUUUGGUUUAGCAAAGCUCAUUGAUAGGGAUCAAAGCCAAGUCAUGACCAAAGUUAGAGGAACAAGGGGCUACUUAGCACCAGAGUGGUUGACAUCAACAAUUACUGAAAAGGCCGAUAUCUACAGCUUUGGUGUUGUUGUGCUGGAAAUCGUGAGCCGGAGGAAAAUACUGGAUGAUACUAAGCCUGAAGGGAGCACCAAUCUGAUUAACCUACUGCAAGAGAAAAUCAAGAUUGGGCAAGUCCUGGAUAUAGUGGAGAAUCAGAAUGAAGACGUUCAGUUACAUCGUGCAGUGAUUAUAGAAGUAAUCAAGCUUGCAGUCUGGUGCUUGCAGCGUGAGUGCACCAAGCGACCAGCCAUGUCACAGGUCGUGAAGAUCUUGGAAAGUGCAAUGGACACAGAAGCCAGUUCUGAGACAACUAGCAGAGAUGACAUUUGUGACGCUUCAUCCCCGCUGUCCCCGGUGCCUGUGUCAGCAAGAUGA